rnacentral:rRNA from 1 species
UACGAAGGGGGCUAGCGUUGCUCGGAAUCACUGGGCGUAAAGGGUGCGUAGGCGGGUUUUUAAGUCAGAGGUGAAAUCCUGGAGCUCAACUCCAGAACUGCCUUUGAUACUGAGAAUCUUGAGUAUGGGAGAGGUGAGUGGAACUGCGAGUGUAGAGGUGAAAUUCGUAGAUAUUCGCAAGAACACCAGUGGCGAAGGCGGCUCACUGGCCCGUUACUGACGCUGAGGCACGAAAGCGUGGGGAGCAAACAGG